rnacentral:rRNA from 1 species
CCUACGGGUGGCUGCAGUGGGGAAUAUUGGGCAAUGGGCGCAAGCCUGACCCAGCAACGCCGCGUGAAGGAAGAAGGCUUUCGGGUUGUAAACUUCUUUUCUCAGGGACGAACAAAUCGCCGUUACCUGAGGAUUAAGCGACGCCCAACUACUGGCCAGCAGCCGCGUUAAUACGUAGGGGGCAAUCGUUCUCCGGUUUUAUUGGGUGUACAGGGCGUGUAGGCGGGAUGGCAAGCCAGUUGUGAAAACGCAGGGCCCAACCCUGGGCCUGCUUUUGAAACUGGGUUUCUUGAGUGCUGGAGAGGCAAUCGGAAUUCCGGGUGUAGCGGUGAAAUGCGUAGAU